ensembl:lincRNA
UUUUUCUGAGUGCUCUUCUCAGCUUCUCUCCCCUCUGCUUCUUUCUCCCCUCCUCUCCCCUCCCCUCUGCUCCCCUUCUCUCCCUCCUUCCCUGGCAGCCCCCCACCUUCUCCCCUUUUUCUUCUUCCUUCCCUCUUCUCCUCUCCCCCCAGCUCCCUCCUCCUCCCCCUCCUGUACCUUCUCUCUCCCCCUCCCUCUGCAGCGCCCCCUACCUCCUCCUACCGCUCCUCAGCCCUCAGAAACCCUCUUCCCACUCCCUCCUCCUGCACUCCAACGCCUGCUGUGUGGACAGGGUGCAGCACCCCAGGGAGAGCAGGAUUAGGCAGCUGGGGGACCCCCUGGACCAGGAGUCCACUGGCGGGAGAAGUCACUGCUGCAUCCCGCAGCCCUGGGAGCUGUUCACCAAGCUCGGCCACCUGUGCACCCCACCCCCACCCCGCCCGCCGGUGCUGCUUCUCUUUGGAAUCCUCAGUGGGGCCGGAGGAAGUCCAUGACUCAGGAAGGGUCCCUGGAUACCCUGAGGACCCGAAGACUCAUCUCUGCACAAUGGAGUCCCCGGGACAGCCCUGAUUGGUUCUGACAUCUCCCUGGACAGCUGUCCUGUUCUUUGGUCCAGAGCUCUGCUUCUUUUCAGUGCUCCACUAUCAUCCACGUUUUAUCUGUUUUCUCUUUUUCUUUGAAGAUGAACUAAGCAAGGAAGUCCGACCGGAUAAAUUGCUGCAGGUGGUUUUGGGGAGACAGGCAUCCCAUCUUUCUAAUGCUUUCCUAAACCACAGUUAAAUUUUAUGUGGGUGAUUUGGGCAUAUCUUGUCUGGGCUCAGUGGUGGCUGGGCUCAGUCCUGUCCUGUACCAAACCCUGUCAUUUCUUUAGGCCUUGAGCCCCAUGUAGCCCCAGCUACUCUGGAGGCUGAGGCAGGAGGAUCACUUAACUCAAGGCUUCAAGGACAGCCUGGGAAACAGAGAGACCUCCAUCUCAAAGAAAAUAAAAGUCAUGUCUUUCCCUAGUGCUAUGAAAUGACCAUAUUUCCUCUCUGCCAAAUGAUUAAAGAAGCUCUUUUAAGUGGCACAUUGUUGCUAAGAAACAGCUUUAAAGUUAC